AAGUCGUAACAAGGUUUCCGUAGGUGAACCUGCGGAAGGAUCAUUCACAAUGAGUGUUUAAUGGCACUCCAAAUCCAUUACCCACCUUGUGUGCAUUGUCGGGAGGACUCUUUUUCCCAAUCUUCUCUCUCACUCUCUCCUUUCUCCUCUUCCUCCCUCUCUCUCUCUCUUUGAGGGGAGAAGGGAGAGGGAAAGAGGGGAACUCCAUUUCAUUCAUACUCUGUUCUUCAGUAUCUGUCUACUUCAAUUGAGUAUAAAACUCGAAUACAACUUUCAACAACGGAUCUCUUGGCUCUC
rnacentral:misc_RNA from 1 species